rnacentral:rRNA from 1 species
UACGUAGGGAGCGAGCGUUUGUCCGGAUUUAUUGGGCGUAAAGAGCGCGUAGGCGGCUUGGUAAGCCGGAUGUGAAACCCCCGAGCUCAACUCGGGGCGGCCAUUCGGAACUGCCAUGGCUAGAGUCUGGUAGGGGAACACGGAAUACCUGGUGUAGCGGUGAAAUGCUUAGAUAUCAGGUGGAACACCAGUGGGCGAAGGCGGUGUUCUGGGCCAGUACUGACGCUGGAGGCGCGAAAAGCCGUUGGGGGAGCGAACAGG